rnacentral:rRNA from 2 species
AGCGAUUAGGUCGGGAACUCAAAGGAGACUGCCAGUGAUAAACUGGAGGAAGGUGGGGAUGACGUCAAGUCAUCAUGGCCCUUACGACCAGGGCUACACACGUGCUACAAUGGCGCAUACAAAGAGAAGCGACCUCGCGAGAGCAAGCGGACCUCAUAAAGUGCGUCGUAGUCCGGAUUGGAGUCUGCAACUCGACUCCAUGAAGUCGGAAUCGCUAGUAAUCGUGGAUCAGAAUGCCACGGUGAAUACGUUCCCGGGCCUUGUACACACCGCCCGUCACACCAUGGGAGUGGGUUGCAAAAGAAGUAGGUAGCUUAACCUUCGGGAGGGCGCUUACCACUUUGUGAUUCAUGACUGGGGUGAAGUCGUAACAAGGUAACCGUAGGGGAACCUGCGGUUGGAUCACCUCCUUACCUUAAAGAA